rnacentral:rRNA from 1 species
AACGAACGCUGGCGGCAUGCCUAACACAUGCAAGUCGAACGAGACCUUCGGGUCUAUUGGCGCACGGGUGCGUAACGCGUGGGAACCUUCCCUUAGGUUCGGAAUAACUCCCCGAAAGGGGUGCUAAUACCGGAUAAUGUCUUCGGACCAAAGCUUUAUCGCCGUUGGAUGGGCCCGCGUUGGAUUAGCUAGUUGGUAGGGUAAAAGCCUACCAAGGCGACGAUCCAUAGCUGGUCUGAGAGGAUGACCAGCCACACUGGGACUGAGACACGGCCCAGACUCCUACGGGAGGCAGCAGUGGGGAAUACUGGAGAAUGGGCGCAAGCCUGAUCAAGCAAUGCCGCGUGAGUGAUGAAGGCCUUAGGGUUGUAAAGCUCUUUUACCCGGGAUGAUAAUGACAGUACCGGGAGAAUAAGCUCCGGCUAACUACGUG